UUGCAGAAUCAGUGGCUCAAAUUGCAUCUAGAAGAGCUCCCCACGCCACCUGUGGGGUUAGAGGGCUCACAGAGUAACCCGUCCCACCUGGAGAAGAGCAAUCACCUGUCCUCGCAGGGCUGUGAGGGCUGGGGAGCUGAUAUAAGUCAGGCUGAAGUGAGGCUGGCUGCUUUUUGGAGGAGUGGUUGGGCAAGACAGUGCUCUGGUGGUCAGAUCAUCCUGAGCAUCAGGCAGCAGUGCUGGCUGGACCUGGGAUGCUGUUUGCUUGUGUAAGGUGUAUAAGGUGUGAAUGUAGGAGAGGAAGAUCAAGCCAUGUUUCACCAGUUUCAAGUUUAAGCUAACGUGGCUGAGCAGACCUGUCAUGAAUGUGGGACAUCUGCACAUCGUGGUGGUUUUGACUUGACAUUUAGGAGCUCGGGAUGUGUCAUGCUGGUGAAUCUUUGCCUGCCACAUCUCCACCGUGGGCCUUGCAUAUUGCUCAAUGGUUGGGUUUACUGAUACCUAAAUAACUCACAGCAAGAGAAUUUAUUCACACCCUCCAAAAACCACAAGAUAUGGAAAGUCGGUGUUAUUCUUGACUCUCAAAAACAUAACAGUAACAAAGAUGAAGUCAUAGAGGUUUGACAAUGACUGUCGAGGGGAUUUUUGAAAUGGUUCACAGCCCCUCUGUCCGUCCAUCCCUGUGAUGCCCAGGGCAGCCCAGCUGUUUGGCAGAGCAGCGAUGACCUCUGAUGUGUAUGGCUGUGUGCUGAUGGGUUCAGGGUGAAGAAUGUCUUCCCUGCCCACUGGUGCACCUGGAGCUGGCAGGGACGUGGAAGCAGGCAUAAAUCAAGAGGAAGAUGACAGGGAAGGAAGGUUUCUGGCUGCAAUGCUGAAGACCUGGCAUUUUCAUGGAGAUCACAACAGGGCUGACCUCAGGCAGGGCGGCAGUGUUGCUGGUGAUGAAGUGCAUCCUCUGUGUAAUACUGGACCCAAAAGCAUGAUGCAGUUUGGCUCUUCAUCCCCCAUUUCUUCAUCCCGGAAGAUGACAUGGACAGCAACUUCCAGCUGCCUCAGUGUGCUUCCCCACAUUUCCCUCCUUGCCCUUGGGCGAGGGCCCAAAGACUUCACAAUGCGUGGUGCAUUUAGUGGUCCCUUACCAGCAGGAUGUUGCUUAGCUCUGGCUCUCUCUGCCAUUUCUGAGUCAGAGGUCCAUCCCUCGGCGCAUACCUGGAAGCAUUGCUGGUAUUUGUGCUUAAGAUUUCAGAUUUGGCCUCAGCAAAGUGAAGGUUUUGUAAAUGCCACGUAGAUCUUGCACUGAAUGCAGCUAAUUAGAAGCCAAUGCACUCCUCAGCUGUGGAAACAUUGAACCAAGGAAAUCCAUAGCAGGGAGUGACGAUGUUCUGCACUUAACACCUGGGAAAUUCCAGUGAUGGCUGCUCCUUUCCCUUUGCUCACUGACUGUGGCUUUCCAAAGAAUACAGUGACUCAAGGAUGGCUUCCCCACAUUGCCCCACUGUUUCCUGGCUUUGCACAAUGAUUCCUGCAGCUCUUCUGGUAGCCCUUCUGUGGGGAGAGGAAGGCAGAGAUUUUUGUAAGGCCUCCGAUGGCUUUAAACUGUAUAAACUUUGUACUCCUUUUACAUUCAGCCUGCGAGCUUAAGGAACAUAUUCAACUCCAAAAAAAUUGCUCAACGUAGUGACAAAUCUGCUUCCUAUAAACCCAAGCUGUUGGCAUUUGCUGUUACCCUCCUUUAAUGCUUUAUUAAUGAAGUUCUUUUACAGCUGUUUCAUUAUUUCACCUGGGAUAAGAAUAGGGGUCACAGGUGGGUAAUUAUGUGGGUCAUCCUGUUUCUAUCCUCUUAAAACUCUGGCACAACAUAAGCUUUCUUUCAGUCCUCAGUGUUCCAAAGACUUAUUAAAAGUCAACAUUAAUGAUGCAGAGCACUCCUUGGCCAGGCCUCUUCUAAAUCUCAGCUACAACUUCUCUGGGCUUGCUGAUUUCCAAAUACCUCAUUUACUAGCUGUGGUCUAACAUCCCCCGUAGUUACUGUUGGAUCAGAAGCUAUUCCAUCAUCACGUGGUGCAAAUCAAUGGCAUGCCUUUCCUUCAGACGCAGGAUGGCUGUGAGUAUUGUUAGGAUACCUUGGAGCUAUGGGCAGACCCCAUUUCUGCUCACCUGGUCCCAGCUGUACUUAUUGCAUUGAGCCAGAGCUGCCAUUGGGAGUUUUGAAGUCCUCCAUGUGUCCAUCCCAAAGGCAAUGAUACUUCUGCAGGUCAACUCAUGGGAGGAAGACGGUCCUUGGAGGGAUGCUUGCUAACACCCGAGGGUGAGAAGGGGAAUGAAGAAGCAGUGAUUCAGCAGUAAGCCAUCAACAGCAGAAUAGAGAUGGAUAGGAAAUCAUCCUUUAGCCACAGCCAUGUGGGUGUGAAAGGCCUGGCUAACAGGGGGAAGAUCUGGCAUCCCACCUCCAAUUAAAAGCUUCAGAUGUGCUGGCAGGACUUGCCAAAGUGAAGUGCAGAACAUCGUCAGGCACGGAAGGGAGUGGGAGUGAGUGAGCACAGUGGUGCAGUGUGGGUGGUUGGCUCUCUUGCCAUGGAAAACCCUGUGAAUCCUGAAUGAAAUGCAAAGUGGGAUACGCAGCAGUGUCUGACAGUGCCUGCCUGGCUGAGCCGGUGUGCAGGGUGAGUGCUCCGUGCAUGUGUUAGGUGAUUGCUGAUAGGCAGCAUCCUGGGAAAGUAUCAUAGAAACAUCUGGGUCGCUUCUGUGGCUGCUGCUUGUGCUUUGAUUUAUCACAUCCGGGUUCUGAAUCACAUUAGUGUAUUGGAUCCUAUGCGGCAAACUUUUUUCUGCCAGUCUUGGCAGGCAGAAGGCAGCUGCACAGGAGGAGCUCAAGGAGAGGUUGAUGUGGCUUCCAGGUUCCCCUGAUGAUGGUUCUCUGUUUAAAAUAGCCUCGGUGCCAACUGCUUGUGUGUUAGUGCUGGUGGAUCUAGAGCCACUGUCAUUAUAGUGCAACAGGUGACUGUGUGAGUGUGGGGAUAAGAUAAAGCCCAGAGCUUCCACCCAUGUACCCGUGGGUUUCACAGAUGCAAA
ensembl:lncRNA